UGGGGAAUCUUGGACAAAUGGGGGCAACCCUGACUCCACGCCAUGCCGCGUGAGUGAUGAAGGCCUUAGGGUCGUAAAGCUCUUUCGCCUGUGAAGAUAAUGACGGUAGCAGGUAAAGAAACCCCGGCUAACUCCGUGCCAGCAGCCGCGGUAAUACGGAGGGGGUUAGCGUUGUUCGGAAUUACUGGGCGUAAAGCGCACGUAGGCGGACCAGAAAGUUGGGGGUGAAAUCCCGGGGGCUCAACCUUGGAACUGCCUUUAAAACUGCUAGUCUAGAGACCGGAAGAGGUUAGGGGAAUACCUAGUGUAGAGGUGAAAUUCGUAGAUAUUAGGUGGAACACCAGUGGCGAAGGCGCCUAACUGGUCCGGUACUGACGCUGAGGAACGAAAGCGUGGGGAGCAAACAGGAUUAGAUA
rnacentral:rRNA from 1 species